UACGAAGGGGGCGAGCGUUGUUCGGAUUUACUGGGCGUAAAGCGUGCGCAGGCGGUUCGUUGUGUCGGCGGUGAAAUCCCCGGGCUCAACCUCGGAAUGGCCGUUGAAACUGGCGAACUGGAGUGUGGCAGAGGGGGGUGGAAUUCCGCGUGUAGCAGUGAAAUGCGUAGAGAUGCGGAGGAACACCGAUGGCGAAGGCAGCCCCCUGGGCUGACACUGACGCUCAGGCACGAAAGCGUGGGGAGCAAACAGG
rnacentral:rRNA from 1 species